AUCUCUUCAUCCCGUUUAGCUCGGCCCUAAAUUAGUUCAGCCAUUAAGCUUAUCCAGUGAGUCCUACCAACAUAGGUAAAUCAUGCUUCAGCAAUUACUACCCUGAGCAUAGGGACUGCAGUUAGAGCUGCCUAUGGCACUUCAUUCAUGGAGACAGUCUCUACAUCUUUUCCCUGUUUAUAAUUUUGCAUUCUUUUGGGGCUUAUAUCCGAGCUAGCUUGGAAUGCAGUCUUAAUACA
rnacentral:lncRNA from 1 species